UUAAGUGACUAAGCGUACACGGUGGAUGCCCUGGCAGUCAGAGGCGAUGAAGGACGUGCUAAUCUGCGAAAAGCGUCGGUAAGGUGAUAUGAACCGUUAUAACCGGCGAUGUCCGAAUGGGGAAACCCAGUGCAAUUCGUUGCACUAUCGUUAACUGAAUACAUAGGUUAACGAGGCGAACCGGGGGAACUGAAACAUCUAAGUACCCCGAGGAAAAGAAAUCAACCGAGAUUCCCCCAGUAGCGGCGAGCGAACGGGGAGCAGCCCAGAGUCUGAAUCAGCUUGUGUGUUAGUGGAACGGUCUGGAAAGUCCGACGGUACAGGGUGAUAGUCCCGUACACCAAAAUGCACAGGCUGUGAACUCGAAGAGUAGGGCGGGACACGUGGUAUCCUGUCUGAAUAUGGGGGGACCAUCCUCCAAGGCUAAAUACUCCUGACUGACCGAUAGUGAACCAGUACCGUGAGGGAAAGGCGAAAAGAACCCCGGCGAGGGGAGUGAAAAAGAACCUGAAACCGUGUACGUACAAGCAGUGGGAGCACCUUCGGGUGUGACUGCGUACCUUUUGUAUAAUGGGUCAGCGACUUAUAUUCUGUAGCAAGGUUAACCGUAUAGGGGAGCCGCAGGGAAACCGAGUCUUAACUGGGCGUUAAGUUGCAGGGUAUAGACCCGAAACCCGGUGAUCUAGCCAUGGGCAGGUUGAAGGUUGGGUAACACUAACUGGAGGACCGAACCGACUAAUGUUGAAAAAUUAGCGGAUGACUUGUGGCUGGGGGUGAAAGGCCAAUCAAACCGGGAGAUAGCUGGUUCUCCCCGAAAGCUAUUUAGGUAGCGCCUCGUGAACUCAUCUUCGGGGGUAGAGCACUGUUUCGGCUAGGGGGUCAUCCCGACUUACCAACCCGAUGCAAACUACGAAUACCGAAGAAUGUUAUCACGGGAGACACACGGCGGGUGCUAACGUCCGUCGUGAAGAGGGAAACAACCCAGACCGCCAGCUAAGGUCCCAAAGUCAUGGUUAAGUGGGAAACGAUGUGGGAAGGCACAGACAGCCAGGAUGUUGGCUUAGAAGCAGCCAUCAUUUAAAGAAAGCGUAAUAGCUCACUGGUCGAGUCGGCCUGCGCGGAAGAUGUAACGGGGCUAAACCAUGCACCGAAGCUGCGGCAGCGACACUAUGUGUUGUUGGGUAGGGGAGCGUUCUGUAAGCCUGCGAAGGUGNUGCUGGAGGUAUCAGAAGUGCGAAUGCUGACAUAAGUAACGAUAAAGCGGGUGAAAAGCCCGCUCGCCGGAAGACCAAGGGUUCCUGUCCAACGUUAAUCGGGGCAGGGUGAGUCGACCCCUAAGGCGAGGCCGAAAGGCGUAGUCGAUGGGAAACAGGUUAAUAUUCCUGUACUUGGUGUUACUGCGAAGGGGGGACGGAGAAGGCUAUGUUAGCCGGGCGACGGUUGUCCCGGUUUAAGCAUGUAGGCUGGUUAUCCAGGCAAAUCCGGAUAAUCAAGGCUGAGGUGUGAUGACGAGGCACUACGGUGCUGAAGUAACAAAUGCCCUGCUUCCAGGAAAAGCCUCUAAGCAUCAGGUAACAUCAAAUCGUACCCCAAACCGACACAGGUGGUCAGGUAGAGAAUACCAAGGCGCUUGAGAGAACUCGGGUGAAGGAACUAGGCAAAAUGGUGCCGUAACUUCGGGAGAAGGCACGCUGGUGUGUAGGUGAAGUCCCUGCGGAUGGAGCUGAGACCAGUCGAAGAUACCAGCUGGCUGCAACUGUUUAUUAAAAACACAGCACUGUGCAAACACGAAAGUGGACGUAUACGGUGUGACGCCUGCCCGGUGCCGGAAGGUUAAUUGAUGGGGUUAUCCGUAAGGAGAAGCUCUUGAUCGAAGCCCCGGUAAACGGCGGCCGUAACUAUAACGGUCCUAAGGUAGCGAAAUUCCUUGUCGGGUAAGUUCCGACCUGCACGAAUGGCGUAAUGAUGGCCAGGCUGUCUCCACCCGAGACUCAGUGAAAUUGAACUCGCUGUGAAGAUGCAGUGUACCCGCGGCAAGACGGAAAGACCCCGUGAACCUUUACUAUAGCUUGACACUGAACAUUGAGCCUUGAUGUGUAGGAUAGGUGGGAGGCUUUGAAGCGUGGACGCCAGUCUGCGUGGAGCCAACCUUGAAAUACCACCCUUUAAUGUUUGAUGUUCUAACGUUGGCCCCUGACCGGGGUUGCGGACAGUGUCUGGUGGGUAGUUUGACUGGGGCGGUCUCCUCCCAAAGCGUAACGGAGGAGCACGAAGGUUAGCUAAUCCUGGUCGGACAUCAGGAGGUUAGUGCAAUGGCAUAAGCUAGCUUGACUGCGAGCGUGACGGCGCGAGCAGGUGCGAAAGCAGGUCAUAGUGAUCCGGUGGUUCUGAAUGGAAGGGCCAUCGCUCAACGGAUAAAAGGUACUCCGGGGAUAACAGGCUGAUACCGCCCAAGAGUUCAUAUCGACGGCGGUGUUUGGCACCUCGAUGUCGGCUCAUCACAUCCUGGGGCUGAAGUAGGUCCCAAGGGUAUGGCUGUUCGCCAUUUAAAGUGGUACGCGAGCUGGGUUUAGAACGUCGUGAGACAGUUCGGUCCCUAUCUGCCGUGGGCGCUGGAGAAUUGAGGGGGGCUGCUCCUAGUACGAGAGGACCGGAGUGGACGCAUCACUGGUGUUCGGGUUGUCAUGCCAAUGGCACUGCCCGGUAGCUAAAUGCGGAAGAGAUAAGUGCUGAAAGCAUCUAAGCACGAAACUUGCCCCGAGAUGAGUUCUCCCUGAGACUUUAAGUCUCCUGAAGGAACGUUAAAGACGAUGACGUUGAUAGGCCGGGUGUGUAAGCGCAGCGAUGCGUUGAGCUAACCGGUACUAAUGAACCGUGAGGCUUAACCUU
rnacentral:rRNA from 1 species